rnacentral:lncRNA from 1 species
AUCGACUCCUCCUCGGCUCCUCCUAGAUGUUUCUUCCUUGACUUGUUCUGUUUUUGCAACAUUACAACUGGAACGUAAAACAGGAUGAGGAGUUGAAGAAGCGGAGUGUGUAGGAAUAUCAACUUUCUUGACAUUCUUAUUAUUCCUAUCAGACUGUACUAAGAGAAGAUGGAUAUUAAUAUUCUCCCUUUUUCCUCAGAGCUUGAAGAACUGUUAUUUGAGACUAACGUCAAAAGCUAAAUGGUACAUCUCUGCUGCGCAAACGACGACUGGUCAGUGCCCACAGAAGAAUGUCUUCAACCAUCAUUUUUUAGCCCUCACAGCCUCUCAGGGUUGGAGGAAAUAGCAUUAGUGAUCAUCGUUUCCGAGUCGAACGGAGAGAUCUGUCUGGUGAGAGUUGAAAGAUGGUGGCUGAGUGAAGAAUAAGGAGAAGAAGAAAGUAGAGAGAAAGUGGUACUAUAGAAAAAUUGUUUUUUUUUGUUUUUAAACAGUGGAAAGUAUGUGAUUGCAAAUUACCGGGGUGAUUGGUAGAGGCCGUGACUUUCUGUUUUUUGUUCUAAGAUUUAGGUUCUAGAUUUUUAGCUUUAUCUUUAAUUUAUUUUGUUGUAGAAAUUUUUCAGAGCACUGUAUAAAAUCUCUAGAGAAAGUGUUUUCUAAAGCUA